rnacentral:rRNA from 1 species
AGCGAACGCUGGCGGUAGGCCUAACACAUGCAAGUCGAACGGCAGCACAGUAAGAGCUUGCUCUUACGGGUGGCGAGAGGCGGACGGGAGAGGUAAAUAUCGGACUCUACUUUUUCGUGGGGGUUAACGAAGGGAAACUUACGCUCAUAUCGCAUACGACCCACGGGUGAAAGCAGGGGAUCUUCGGACCUUGCGGGAUUGAAUGAGCCGAUGUUGGAUUAGCUAGUUGGCGGGGUAAAGGCCCACCAAGGCGCCGAUCGGUAGCUGGUCUGAGAGGAUGGUCAGGCACACUGGAGCGGGGGCACGGUCCAGACUCCUACGGGAGGCAGCAGAGGGGAAUAUUGGACAAUGGGGGCAAGCCUGAUCCAGCCAGACCGCGUGGGUGAAGAAGGCCUGCGGGUUGUGAAGCCCUUGUGUUGGGGAAGAAAAGCGGCAGGUUAAUACCCCGCUGGUCUGACGGGACCCAAAGUAUAGGCACCGGCUAACUUCGUG